AGGACUAUAAUUUAUAAAAAAUAUUUAAUUUGCAUUUAAAAAAAACUCUAUGAGUUCGUCUUA
rnacentral:tRNA from 1 species